CGGGGCGUAGCGCAGUUGGAAGCGCACUUGGUUUGGGACCAAGGGGUCGCAGGUUCAAAUCCUGUCGCCCCGA
rnacentral:tRNA from 2 species